AGAGGAAAAGACAGACAGCAGGAGAGAUAGAUGGGUGAGAGGGUGUGAAAAGAAGAAGAGAAGAGAAGGAAAAUAUGGUUGCAGGAGAGGAGAAAUGAUUGACAGAUAAGCAGGAGAGAAAGAAGCAACAUAGCUCUUUUAAAUUGUGGUGGCAAAAGUUUAGUGAAAGAGUGCAAAUAUGCAGAAGAUAACGUUUAUAAAACUUAGGCAUAACAAUCUAUCUCCCCCUCCACACAUUGACUGACAUCUCAGUUUCUUGACUGCAUUCUUUGCUUGGCUUUAUCAUAUUCAAUGGAGAAUUGAGCGAGCCAGCAGAACUAAUGAGGUAGGGAAUGGAGUUCUGGGUAACAUACUGUGGCUACUGGAAGUAAAGAAGCCCAAUUAAAUAAGAAAGGCGGGGGGGGGUCAGAGAACGUUUUCACAUGUCACAGACCUCAUUAUGAAAGAGGUAGGUGGCUGUCCAGGAUAGAUAACAUGAGACUGAGUUAUGACUCAUGGGUAACGGCAGCAGUCUGGAGAACCCUGGAGUGACGUGUGUAAUGAUAUGAUUCUCCCGUCUACAUUUGUAAGUAGACUGGAUGCAACCGCACUUCCUGCCUUGUCACCAUGGCGACAGAGUCUCUGCCCCUCUCCCUUUCUACAGCACGUCUCUUUCAUCAGCUCUCUGGAUGCCAGUCGAUGUCAAGUCCUCAAACAUCUCCUGAACCGCCAAUCACACACACACGAAAAAAAGAACAAAAGCUCAGGUGAUAUGCAGAAGGCAAACUAUUCCUAAAAAAAAACCUUCCUAAAAAGAGAUCUGGUUUCUGUGGGAUGUUAUUAAGAGGAAAACAACUUCAGGGUCUGCCUUCGGGGUAUGAAGAAACCAAGAGAGGAUCCUUCAUGGAGAGACAAAUACGUGGCCUGUUGCUGAGCUAAAGGGAGGCAGGCCUCAGCUGUUCCCGCCCCACUUUCAUGUUUGAAGCCCCUUGGCUAUUUUAUAUGCAGCAGAGUGAGUGACAGGGUGACAUCAGUGACCCAGACAGCCGGUCUGACCAAAGCAGGAGGUUGAUGACACCGAACAGAUCUUACAGUUCUUAAGUCAACUAGAGUGUAACAGUGAGAGAGAGAGAGUGUGUGUGUGUUGCUAGCCUAUACUGCAUAAAGUAUAUCCAUCAAAGGCAAAGAAUCAGAGCAUAAAAGCUUGUUUAUAUGAUGCUUAAUUAAAGAAGGCACUGAAAGCACUAGCUCUUGUUUAUCAUCUUGCUAAAAUAGGCCUACUGAUAUACAGUGUGAUCUCACUGGUUAAGUUAUGAUAUUUGACCUGAAAUGUUGUGAUUACCCUAACAUAAAUUCUUAACAGUAAGUUGACCUCAGCACAUGACCAUCUCUUGGUUUCACCAGCAGCACAAACAGCACAACAUAAUCAGCAAUGAAUGCUGUAAUAAUGUUGAAAUACCAAUUAUAAUAGUGUAAUGGAAAAAUAACAACAGAGAUCAUAUCCUGUACAUAAUCCUAUUGUCCACAGCAUAAACACAGCUGGAUGUGAACAAUACUCACAUCUGCCACAGGAGGGUAAAACACAUUCACGUCUACUGUAAAUCUCAUUCAUUUUUCUACAGUAAUCAAGUUACACACU